UUCAUUCAGGACUCGGUGCUAGCGAUGCUCCCUCCAUCUCCCUGACAUGCUGUUUGCAAGUACUUUUAUCUGAGGAAAGCAGGCUGGAGAAAGCAUAUGAGCACACGCUCCUGCCACUGGCUGGGCGCCAGCCCGGUACCUCCCCUCCAUCACAUGACCGCGUUUGAUUCAUGGCUCCAGCGUGUGUUUGCGAGCCCCGGGACGCGCUCACCAUCAAGUGUACGUACAGACGGCAAUCUAUGGCUUGCAGGCGUCCCGUGAUGUUCCAAGAUCAAGCUGCAUCUUUAUAAUUAAUCCCUGUGCAACUCUCUAAGUGCUCUCAGGAGACAAUUGAUGCCAGUUGGUCAGAAAAGUCCAGAUUCUGUGUUAUUUGGGCUCUAAAAACCCUUACACCGCCUGUGAGAAUGAAGUAUUGUUUUAUGUUCGGCCAGCUUCCUUUUGUGAGCUCAUCGUUAUCAGCGAGCAACAGAGGCGCCUGUGUUGUGCUGCGCGUGCCUUGCCCUACAAAGGGCUGCCACACAUCACAGGGAAGGGAAAGCUUUUUGGUGCAAGUCUGAAAAAGGCUCUGAACUUUCUCUGCGUUUAACUACACUGAAGUGGGGUUAACGCAGAUUAAUUAAUUCAGCCAUUGAAGAAUUCUAAUUUCAGUUAGUCUUUGCCUGUGUUUUUCUACGUCAUCUCACUAUUCUCAAACUUCUCUGUACCGCACUCUGUAUAUUAUAAAGGUCUUACUUAUUUGUUGCUU